GUAGGGGAGCGUUCUGUAGGCUGAUGAAGGUGCAUUGAGAAGUGUGCUGGAGGUAUCAGAAGUGCGAAUGCUGACAUGAGUAACGAUAAUGUGGGUGAAAAGCCCACACGCCGGAAGUCCCAGGUUUCCUGCACGACGUUAAUCGGAGCAGGGUGAGUCGGCCCCUAAGGCGAGGCUGAAGAGCGUAGUCGAUGGGAACCAGGUUAAUAUUCCUGGACUUUUUAUAAGUGGUGAAGUGGGGACGAAGAAGGCUAGGUGAGCCAGGCGUUGGUUGUCCUGGUACUUGCAUGUAGGGGGGAAGACUUGGCAAAUCCGGUUUUCCAUAACUCUGAGGUGCGAAGUGGUUCUGACCUUUUGGUACAGAGAAGUCAUUGAUGCCCGGCUUCCAGGAAAAGCUGCUAGCCAUAACUUAUAGAGAACCGUACCGCAAACCGACACAGGUGGACAGGUAGAGAAUACUAAGGCGCUUGAGAGAACUCGGGUGAAGGAACUAGGCAAAAUGGUACCGUAACUUCGGGAGAAGGUACGCCCUUUUGGGUGAGGGCAUUUACUGUCUGAGCUUAAGAGGGCCGCAGAGACCAGGUGGCUGCGACUGUUUAUUAAAAACACAG
rnacentral:rRNA from 1 species